rnacentral:rRNA from 1 species
UGCGUAGGCGGAAAAUUAAGUCAGUGAUGAAAUCCUGCAGCUCAACUGUAGAACUGUCAUUGAUACUGAUUUUCUUGAAUUUAGUUGAGGUAGGCGGAAUGUGUAGUGUAGCGGUGAAAUGCUUAGAUAUUACACAGAACACCGAUCGCGAAGGCAGCUUACUAAACUAUGAUUGACGCUGAGGCACGAAAGCGUGGGGAGCGAACAGGAUUAGAUACCCUGGUAGUCC